UACAACUUUCAGCAACGGAUCUCUUGGCUCUCGCAUCGAUGAAGAACGCAGCGAAAUGCGAUAAGUAAUGUGAAUUGCAGAAUUCAGUGAAUCAUCGAAUCUUUGAACGCACCUUGCGCUCCUUGGUAUUCCGAGGAGUAUGCCUGUUUGAGUGUCAU
rnacentral:rRNA from 1 species